ensembl:lncRNA
UUUCAUCUCUAAAUGCCUCUGGUCCUUCUGCCAAGCCUCAAAGAAGCUCUGCAUCUUCAUGGACUUUUCGGCAGCAGAAAGCCUCAGAGCGCUGGACAGAAGCACGACCAAACCACCUACAAGGCCUCAUUGAAAAGGAGGCUGUUGGUCAUCCCUUGUGUUGCCUCUGCCCCAAGCCGGCUGUUAUUAGGUGCAGAGAGUGUCUCCCUGAAGAGUGGUUCUGUGGGGACUGCGAUGUACUGCAUCACAAAAAACAGCCACUCCACAACAGGGAAUGUCUGAUACGUGGGUUCUUUGAACCCAUUCCUCCAACCACACGCGUCAUGAAAGGGGAGGAUGGAUAUUUCACUCAGGAGCAAGGACGUUAUGACUUGCAUCAGCCACUGUAUGUAUGUCAGACGUGCCAGCAGCAGAGGACCCCUGACAUGAAGCACUUCCUUCAGAGUGGAUAUUGGCCAGCCUCUCUCAAUACUUCCACGUUGUACACGUUGGACCUCUUGAGCUCCUUUCAGGAACUGAAAGUAAUCUCUCCGGGAUUCUCCAGACAGGCCUUCGCAAAGCUCCUGGAGCAUCGCACCAAGUGUGGAGGACGAUCUGGACAUAUCAAAGGUGACACCCUGCAGCGCAGCUUCUUGGAGUUUUCAUAUGCUUCGUUUGAGAAGGACCAACUCUGCUGUGGUGCUGUUUUCACCUGCCCAGCCUGCACACCAGAAAUGUUGGCUGUUUCAGUAGAUGGAAACAGAAAGUUAUAUCGCUUUCGCCGAAAUGGAAGUUCUGGUGACCAUGCCUUUUUUGAAGGUUUAUUUGUGGCUGAAGACAGUGCAGUGUCUGGAUUUGUGGACAUGAUCCAGAAAGCUGUGAAAAAGACACAGGGAAGAGGCACGUGUGGGGACUCCCAAUGGACAGCAGCACGGAGACAUCAAGAAGGGCAUCCAAAUUGGAUGAAGAGGGCAUGGAGGUUGCUGUGUGUCGCCAUGGUUUCCUUCUUAAAGCCCUUAAUAUGUACAGGGGAGAAAUAUUUGCCUACCCCAUGUACCUUCAAAAGGAGCUGAUGCCAGCCAAGGCACAAUUCUUUGCCAUGGAUGUGGCUUGCAAAUACUGGCCAUACCUGGAGAAAGUUGCCAGUGUCCUUCCUGCUCUCCAGGAGCUGACCACCAUGAAACCUUUCCUCAGCGUCAUGCAUGCUCGAGCUCAUGCUACCAAGUGUGAGAUUAAAUGGAGUGGUAGGAACCAGGAAGGAGCAGGGACAACCGCCGGUGAAGAGGUGGAACAAGUUAACAGCUACCUCUCUCGUUGUGCCCUUACGACAAAAUAUAUGUCGAAAGCAGCCCGGUUGGACAUGCUCACAUUGCAUGCAAUGUUGUGGAACCAGAAGAAAGGGGAUUCCUUACACCAGGCACUUUCCACAAGAUAUGUGAAGACUUGUCAGAGGCUCCUGGAUGAGACUGCAAUGCUAGCAGAGCUAAAAACCCAGCUACAUCUCUCAGAUGAAAUGGUGUCACAGUGGAUCUCAGAUGUGAUGGAAUGGGCAGCUGGUGAGACACGAGAUGCAUCUGACAACCUGCAAGGCACCACACACACAGGGCUUCAGCGGUCCAUUGAGGGGCUCUACCUCAGUGUGAGGCAGCGGAAGCUAAAUCUGUACCGUCAGAAUGACAGCAACAAGCUUCGCCACCGGCUUCGGAGGAAGCUGGCAGAAGAGAAAAAGCUCCUUUUUCAGGAGAUACAAAAGCACAACAAGCUUGACUCUGCAGCCAACAUCGAUGCAGCUGUGGUGGAGCACUCCCUGAGUGGAGAGAGCACUGUGUCCCCAAUAUGGCCUUGGGAGGUUCAUGACAGCGCAAACAUUGGAACCAAGAAACGGCUUCAUGACCAAGUCAUGACAACAAAGCGACUGCAGGAGGAAAAAACAUUCUGGUGAUGGAGAUGGCACAACACUGCACAUGGUUGCAGAACCUGGCAUUGGUUCUCAAAAACAAGGUGGCUGAGUCGGGUAAGUUGACGCAAAACAUAGCUGUCCAUGACCAACUCACUUUCAAUCACAAACCUAAUAGAGUACAACAAUCAUUGUUUGCAGUGAUGGUCAUUUAAUUGUACAUAGUAAAAUGGUGAUUUACGUUGUUUGCUAUGGUAACAAGUCAGUGGGGUUGUAAAGUGUGUCACUUUUGCCAAAUGUGGAGAUAUUUAGCACUGUGGCUAUAGCCUGAAAUCAGAAGUCAACCAAAUAAUUGUG